rnacentral:rRNA from 1 species
UACGGAGGAUGCGAGCGUUAUCCGGAUUUAUUGGGUUUAAAGGGUGCGUAGGCGGACUGUCAAGUCAGCGGUAAAAUUGAGAGGCUCAACCUCUUCCCGCCGUUGAAACUGGUGGUCUUGAGUGGAUGAGAAGUACGCGGAAUGCGUGGUGUAGCGGUGAAAUGCAUAGAUAUCACGCAGAACUCCGAUUGCGAAGGCAGCGUACCGGCAUCCAACUGACGCUGAGGCACGAAAGCGUGGGGAUCAAACAAG